rnacentral:rRNA from 1 species
CGAAGCGUGCGAUUGGAUUGCACGUCUAAGCAGUAAGGCUGAGUAUUAGGCAAAUCCGGUACUCGUUAAGGCUGAGCUGUGAUGGGGAGAAGACAUUGUGUCUUCGAGUCGUUGAUUUCACACUGCCGAGAAAAGCCUCUAGAUAGAAAAUAGGUGCCCGUACCGCAAACCGACACAGGUAGUCAAGAUGAGAAUUCUAAGGUGAGCGAGCGAACUCUCGUUAAGGAACUCGGCAAAAUGACCCCGUAACUUCGGGAGAAGGGGUGCUCUUUAGGGUUAACGCCCAGAAGAGCCGCAGUGAAUAGGCCCAAGCGACUGUUUAUCAAAAACACAGGUCUCUGCUAAACCGUAAGGUGAUGUAUAGGGGCUGACGCCUGCCCGGUGCUGGAAGGUUAAGAGGAGUGGUUAGCUUCUGCGAAGCUACGAAUCGAAGCCCCAGUAAACGGCGGCCGUAACUAUAACGGUCCUAAGGUAGCGAAAUUCCUUGUCGGGUAAGUUCCGACCCGCACGAAAGGCGUAACGAUUUGGGCACUGUCUCAACGAGAGACUCGGUGAAAUCAUAGUACCUGUGAAGAUGCAGGUUACCCGCGACAGGACGGAAAGACCCCGUGGAGCUUUACUGUAGCCUGAUAUUGAAAUUCGGCACAGCUUGUACAGGAUAGGUAGGAGCCUUUGAAACGUGAGCGCUAGCUUACGUGGAGGCGCUGGUGGGAUACUACCCUAGCUGUGUUGGCUUUCUAACCCGCACCACUUAUCGUGGUGGGAGACAGUGUCAGGCGGGCAGUUUGACUGGGGCGGUCGCCUCCUAAAAGGUAACGGAGGCGCUCAAAGGUUCCCUCAGAAUGGUUGGAAAUCAUUCAUAGAGUGUAAAGGCAUAAGGGAGCUUGACUGCGAGACCUACAAGUCGAGCAGGGUCGAAAGACGGACUUAGUGAUCCGGUGGUUCCGCAUGGAAGGGCCAUCGCUCAACGGAUAAAAGCUACCCCGGGGAUAACAGGCUUAUCUCCCCCAAGAGUUCACAUCGACGGGGAGGUUUGGCACCUCGAUGUCGGCUCAUCGCAUCCUGGGGCUGUAGUCGGUCCCAAGGGUUGGGCUGUUCGCCCAUUAAAGCGGUACGCGAGCUGGGUUCAGAACGUCGUGAGACAGUUCGGUCCCUAUCCGUCGUGGGCGUAGGAAAUUUGAGAGGAGCUGUCCUUAGUACGAGAGGACCGGGAUGGACAUACCUCUGGUGUACCAGUUGUCGUGCCAACGGCAUAGCUGGGUAGCUAUGUGUGGACGGGAUAAGUGCUGAAAGCAUCUAAGCAUGAAGCCCCCCUCAAGAUGAGAUUUCCCAAC